UACGGAGGGUGCGAGCGUUGUCCGGAAUCACUGGGCGUAAAGGGCGCGUAGGCGGCUUCUCAAGCGUGUGGUGAAAGUCCGGGGCUCAACCCCGGAUCGGCCGUGCGGACUGGGGAGCUCGAGUUCUGUAGAGGAGAGUGGAAUUCCACGUGUAGCGGUGAAAUGCGUAGAGAUGUGGAGGAACACCAGUGGCGAAGGCGACUCUCUGGGCUGUAACUGACGCUGAGGCGCGAAAGCGUGGGGAGCAAACAGG
rnacentral:rRNA from 1 species